rnacentral:rRNA from 1 species
UACGUAGGGCGCAAGCGUUGUCCGGAAUUAUUGGGCGUAAAGAGCUCGUAGGCGGCUUGUCACGUCGGGGUGUGAAAGCCCGGGGCUUAACCCCGGGGUCUGCAUUCGAUACGGGCUAGCUAGAGUGUGGUAGGGGAGAUCGAAUUCCUGGUGUAGCGGUGAAAUGCGCAGAUAUCAGGAGGAACACCGGUGGCGAAGGCGGAUCUCUGGGCCAUUACUGACGUGAGGAGCGAAAGCGUGGGGAGCGAACAGG